rnacentral:rRNA from 1 species
GAUGAACGCUGGCGGCGUGCCUAAUACAUGCAAGUAGAACGCUGAAGGAGGAGCUUGCUCUUCUGGAUGAGUUGCGAACGGGUGAGUAACGCGUAGGUAACCUGCCUGGUAGCGGGGGAUAACUAUUGGAAACGAUAGCUAAUACCGCAUGACAACAGUUAUUGCAUGAUAACUGUUUAAAAGGGGCAACUGCUCCACUACCAGAUGGACCUGCGUUGUAUUAGCUAGUUGGUGAGGUAACGGCUCACCAAGGCGACGAUACAUAGCCGACCUGAGAGGGUGAUCGGCCACACUGGGACUGAGACAGGGCCCAGACUCCUACGGGAGGCAGCAGUAGGGAAUCUUCGGCAAUGGACGGAAGUCUGACCGAGCAACGCCGCGUGAGUGAAGAAGGUUUUCGGAUCGUAAAGCUCUGUUGUAAGAGAAGAACGAGUGUGAGAGUGGAAAGUUCACACUGUGACGGUAUCUUACCAGAAAGGGACGGCUAACUACGUG